CACGUAGGGUGCAAGCGUUGUCCGGAAUCAUUGGGCGUAAAGAGCUCGUAGGCGGCUUAGUAAGUCGGGUGUGAAACCCCCAGGCUCAACCUGGGGACGCCACCCGAUACUGCUAUAGCUAGAGUCCAGUAGGGGAGUGCGGAAUUCCCGGUGUAGCGGUGAAAUGCGCAGAUAUCGGGAGGAACACCAGCGGCGAAGGCGGCACUCUGGGCUGGAACUGACGCUCAGGAGCGAAAGCGUGGGUAGCGAACAGG
rnacentral:rRNA from 1 species